GAACUGCUCCGGUGGCCCAGUGGUUAGAGCAUCGGCCUCGGAUACAAGAGGCCAUGGGUUCAAUCCCCGGUCGAUUCG